GAUGAACGCUAGCGGGAGGCCUAACACAUGCAAGCCGAGCGGUAUUGUUUCUUCGGAAAUGAGAGAGCGGCGUACGGGUGCGGAACACGUGUGCAACCUGCCUUUAUCUGGGGGAUAGCCUUUCGAAAGGAAGAUUAAUACUCCAUAACAUAUUGAUUGGCAUCAAUUAAUAUUGAAAGCUCCGGCGGAUAGAGAUGGGCACGCGCAAGAUUAGCUAGUUGGUGAGGUAACGGCUCACCAAGGCGAUGAUCUUUAGGGGGCCUGAGAGGGUGAUCCCCCACACUGGUACUGAGACACGGACCAGACUCCUACGGGAGGCAGCAGUGAGGAAUAUUGGUCAAUGGGUGCAAGCCUGAACCAGCCAUCCCGCGUGAAGGACGACUGCCCUAUGGGUUGUAAACUUCUUUUGUAUAGGGAUAAACCUACCCUCGUGAGGGUAGCUGAAGGUACUAUACGAAUAAGCACCGGCUAACUCCGUGCCAGCAGCCGCGGUAACACGGAGGGUGCAAGCGUUAUCCGGAUUUAUUGGGUUUAAAGGGUCCGUAGGCGGACUUAUAAGUCAGUGGUGAAAGCCUGUCGCUUAACGAUAGAACUGCCAUUGAUACUGUAAGUCUUGAGUUUAUUUGAGGUAGCUGGAAUAAGUAGUGUAGCGGUGAAAUGCAUAGAUAUUACUUAGAACACCAAUUGCGAAGGCAGGUUACCAAGAUAUAACUGACGCUGAGGGACGAAAGCGUGGGGAGCGAACAGGAUUAGAUACCCUGGUAGUCCACGCCGUAAACGAUGCUAACUCGUUUUUGGGCUUUAGGGUUCAGAGACCAAGCGAAAGUGAUAAGUUAGCCACCUGGGGAGUACGCUCGCAAGAGUGAAACUCAAAGGAAUUGACGGGGGCCCGCACAAGCGGUGGAUUAUGUGGUUUAAUUCGAUGAUACGCGAGGAACCUUACCAAGACUUAAAUGGGAAUUGACAGCUUUAGAAAUAGAGCUUUCUUCGGACAAUUUUCAAGGUGCUGCAUGGUUGUCGUCAGCUCGUGCCGUGAGGUGUUAGGUUAAGUCCUGCAACGAGCGCAACCCCUGUCACUAGUUGCCAUCAUUCAGUUGGGGACUCUAGUGAGACUGCCUACGCAAGUAGAGAGGAAGGUGGGGAUGACGUCAAAUCAUCACGGCCCUUACGUCUUGGGCCACACACGUAAUACAAUGGCCGGUACAGAGGGCAGCUACACAGCGAUGUGAUGCAAAUCUCGAAAGCCGGUCUCAGUUCGGAUUGGAGUCUGCAACUCGACUCUAUGAAGCUGGAAUCGCUAGUAAUCGCGCAUCAGCCAUGGCGCGGUGAAUACGUUCCCGGGCCA
rnacentral:rRNA from 1 species